GAUGCCCAACCUCUCUGUUCGGUAAGGGGAUUAACACCCCCCUCCCCCCAAAAAAGACCAGAGGGAGCCCUCCCCUUUCACCGUAAAAAAUAUAUAUAUGUUUUUUAAAAAGCCACGUCCAAAUUAGCAAGUGCCGGGUUCUGCCGGAUUCAAGAGCUUCACCCAAUAGCAGAUCCAGCAUAUUAUAGUGGUGGCGCAUUUUCAUAUUGGUAACAUCAUGAACUUCUCACCAACGUCCCUGAGAAGCAGCCAUAUAAACACACAGCUCAAGUCCCACCUCAUCUGAGGAUAUUUUCAGUCAACCAAGCCUGAAUUGAUUUCUGUAACAACUGCAAGAGUUUUUAAAUGAGUUGUGGUAUGAUUUGAAAAAAAAAUGUUGCAAUUUGCUUCUUAAUAUCAGGUUGAUUUCUACUGAUGUAA